AACCCCCCUAUAACCCCCAGGCAGGAGCUUUCCAGAGAAUUACUUACUCACAAUAGAGUGCUACUACAGAGAAGGAAGGGGAAAGUCAUCAAAAAAGUUCAGAAAGAUUGGUAACUAGAAGAUAGAGACAGAGAAGGUUACGAGUGCAAUCACUUAUGUGACUGGGGGCAGAGGUCCGGGCAGGGACGGAAAGCCUGGUCCGGUUCCUAAAAAAAGAAAAGAAGUAUCAACUCGAGGAUCUGCAAGAAAAGACUCAAAGACAGCCAAUGAAGGGACAUGGGAUAGCCUAUUAGGGGAAAAAGGAAGCUUUAUAGAGGAAAGAUGGGCACUAGCCCGCAGGGAGAGAGAGAAGCACAAAAAGAAGCCUAAGGGAGAGAAUCUUUCGUCCACCAAGGACUUUUAGGUUCUUCUUCUUCUAAUCCUUCCGACAACAGCGCUUACUUCUAUGACACCACCACCGGUACCGGUUAGGAGAGCAGCUUUUUUGCCCACUUCUCUCA
rnacentral:lncRNA from 1 species